rnacentral:rRNA from 1 species
GACGUAGGGCGCGAGCGUUGUCCGGAUUUAUUGGGCGUAAAGAGCUCGUAGGCGGCUUGUCGCGUCGGCUGUGAAAACCCGCGGCUCAACCGCGGGCCUGCAGCCGAUACGGGCAGGCUGGAGUUCGGUAGGGGAGACUGGAAUUCCUGGUGUAGCGGUGAAAUGCGCAGAUAUCAGGAGGAACACCGGUGGCGAAGGCGGCAUCCUGGACCGGUAUUGACGCUGAUGCGCGAAAGCCAGGGGAGCAAACGGG